rnacentral:rRNA from 1 species
AGUGAACGCUGGCGGCGUGCCUAAUACAUGCAAGUCGAACGGAGUGGCGCGCGGGUGAGUGAUAUAUAGCUAAUCUGCCCCUUGCUGGGGGACAAAAGUUAGAAAUGACUGCUAAUACUCGCUAGCAAGGGAUGAGACUAUAUCGUAUCAGCUAGUCGGUGGGGUAACGGCCUACCGAGGCUAUGACGCGUAACUGGUCUGAGAGGAUGAUCAGUCAAAUUGGAACUGAGACACCGUCCAAAAUCCUACGGGAGUGAGCAGUAGGGAAUAGUGCGCAAUGGGGGAAACCCUGACGCAGCAACGCCGCGUGGAGGAUGACACUUUGCGGAGCGUAAACUCCGUUUGUUAGGGAAGCGGUACCUAACGAAUAAGCACCGGCUAACUCCGUGCCAGCAGCCGCGGUAAUAC